CCCAACCUCCCACCCGUGUUUACUGUACCUUAGUUGCUUCGGCGGGCCCGCCGUCAUGGCCGCCGGGGGCGUCAGCCCCGGGCCCGCGCCCGCCGGAGACACCACGAACUCUGUCUGAUCUAGUGAAGUCUGAGUUGAUUGUAUCGCAAUCAGUUA
rnacentral:misc_RNA from 1 species